UGGGCGAAAGCCUGACGCAGCAACGCCGCGUGACCGAUGAAGCUUCUAGGAGUGUAAAGGUCUGUCGUGAGGGAAGAAAAAUCCUGAUGUAAAUACUGUUCGGACGUGACGGUACCUCACAAGAAAGCACCGGCUAACUUAGUGCCAGCAGCCGCGGUAAUACUAGGGGUGCUAGCGUUGUCCGGAAUCACUGGGCGUAAAGGGUCCGUAGGCGUUUUGCUAAGUUGAUUGUUAAAUCCAUCGGCUCAACCGAUGAUCUGCAAUCAAAACUGGUAGAAUAGAGUUCGAGAGAGGAAAGUGGAAUUCCUGGUGUAGCGGUGACAUGCGUAGAUAUCAGGAGGAACACCAAUGGCGAAGGCAGCUUUCUGGCUCGAUACUGACGCUGAGGGACGAAAGCGUGGGGAGCGAACAGGAUUAGAUACCCUGGUAGUCCACGCCGUAAACGAUGAGUACUUGAUGAUGGAGGAUUCGACCCCUUCGUUGUCGUAGCUAACGCGAUAAGUACUCCGCCUGGGGACUACGACCGCAAGGUUG
rnacentral:rRNA from 1 species